GACGAACGCUGGCGGCGUGCUUAACACAUGCAAGUCGAACGGAAAGGCCCUGCUUUUGUGGGGUGCUCGAGUGGCGAACGGGUGAGUAACACGUGAGUAACCUGCCCUUGACUUUGGGAUAACUUCAGGAAACUGGGGCUAAUACCGGAUAGGAGCUCCUGCUGCAUGGUGGGGGUUGGAAAGUUUCGGCGGUUGGGGAUGGACUCGCGGCUUAUCAGCUUGUUGGUGGGGUGGGGGCUUACCAAGGCUUUGACGGGUAGCCGGCCUGAGAGGGUGACCGGCCACAUUGGGACUGAGAUACGGCCCAGACUCCUACGGGAGGCAGCAGUGGGGAAUAUUGCACAAUGGGCGGAAGCCUGAUGCAGCAACGCCGCGUGCGGGAUGACGGCCUUCGGGUUGUAAACCGCUUUCGCCUGUGACGAAGCGUGAGUGACGGUAAUGGGUAAAGAAGCACCGGCUAACUACGUG
rnacentral:rRNA from 1 species